rnacentral:misc_RNA from 1 species
UGCUGAAAUCCUAUCCUGCUUUCAUUAUAUAAUUUUAUAGUUAUCCACAAAGCUAUCAUGAUUGUUUGUACAAGAAUUAUGCCUCGGUACUACAAACACAACUGUCUCAAUAGGAUGUGAACAUUAUCUUCUCCUGUAGGAAAGAUCAUCUGAAAGAACAAAUGGCAUCUUUUGCCCAACAAGAAAAACAGUAUCAUCUUUCAACCAACAUAACAUCAACGUCAACUUGAACCAUCAAACAAGCUCAGUAAAUCACUUGGUGUUAUCGGGCACUAUGUGCAACCGAUGCUGCAGCUAAUAUGAUAAUCAUUGGGGGUAACAAUGACCACAAUCUGUUGACUUAUUUCUUCCUGGGAGCAAUUAAUGUUCAUUUUGGCUACAUUCUCCAAGAUAAAUAAUCAUGACAAUCUGUAACAGAAUGUACAUCGGCACCUAAUCUAACACAGAAGAAUUCUCCUCUGAACUCUUAGCUUCUAACUCCACUUUCUAUUUAAGCAAGUACAUCUUCAUCUAAGUUGAGGCUGGACUGCAUACAAGAGAAUUGUCUUCUAGCUCUACUUCUAUUCAGAUUCAAUCAGGAAGGGCUGAAAGUGUAGAAAGGCGACAAAGAAAAAGCACAUGCCAAUAUUACAAUAGUUUUAUCAAAAAACUAAGCACGUACUCUGGUUUAAGAUGGCCAGGACCUCUUUCCUUUAUGUUCACAAAUUCAGUUGAUGAUUAUCACUGAUUCGAGCAUUCUAUUAUUUGUGUUCGCGCGCAUGAACUAGACUACAGAUGCUUAAUGGCAAAAGGGUAAGAGAUUACCCCAAAAUAGAGCUAUAACAUAGAAUACUGGAUCAUAAUAAAACAACAAUUAAAACCUUUUCUGAGGUUGCAACGUCAAUUGAAAAACAUUAAUAUCAUAAGCCAAAGUAGAGCAACUACCAGAAUAAUAUGGGUUUGCCCUCAAUUAGUACUUGAUUAGGUAAUACUUAAUGCUGUAGCAAGAGCACCUUGCCCAGAAACUAAAGGUUGACAAAUAAACGAAAAUGCUCAACGUACUCUAGCAAUAUAAGCAACGGAUGCUGCAGCCAAAAAUGUUGUUGCUGAAGACACUAUAGCCCAUAAGCCCUUCUUCUUAUGUGCAUCUGCCAGAGAAUUCUGCAAAAAUUUCACUUGCUGCUUCAUCUCCUCCACCACAGUCUCCUUGUUUCUAAAUGCAUCUUUGAUAACUUCCAGCUCUGUUUCAUAUGGUUCAAUUACACCGUCGAGCUUCUUUUCAAUCAUGAUCACUUCUUCCUUUCCAUCAUUUGAUAGACCUAGUGAUGCUGCAGUGUUCUUCAACAUGGACAGCGCUCUUUCUGAGUAAAUGGCAGUUGAUUCCAUUUUACUCCUCAAAUCAUCAAUUUCUUGUUGUGCCUCAUAAAGAUUCUUUUGCAUCAAGUCCUUUUCCUUCUUCAACAAACCAACUUGGCUCUCCAUUUCCUUCUUUUCCUCGAAAAGACCUGCGUGCUCUUUUUUCUUCUUUGCAGUCUCUUUUACAGUCUCUUCAAUCCUCUUCUUCAUUUCCAGAACUUUAGAGCUCAAACUAAUGCUAUUUGUUUUCUCCUCAUCCAAAUCAACCUGGGCUUUGUCCCUCUCAAGUCUCACUUGCUCAAAAGCAUCUCUGUAAUGGCUAACCUCAGAUGCAAGUUGCUUGUUCUUGUCUUCUUGGUUUUUAAUGGAUUUUUGCAUUGCAGACGUAGCAUCCCUUAAUCCAGCCAGCUCCUUGUGCAACUCCGCAAUUGCACUCUCCUUGCUAACCUUCACAUCAUCAGUCUCUUUUUUCUCUCUCAUUAAUUUCUCAAUCAAUCCAUCCUUAUCUUUCACCUCAAUAUUCAUAGUCUUUAUAAUAUUGUCACUUGAAUGCAUUUCCUCCAUCAACCUCUCAAUGGUUAUGUCCUUCUGUUGCUUCUCUUCCAUCAACACAUCAACCUCCAUUGCUAUCACCUUGGCUUUCUCUAUUGCCUCGUGACAGCUCUUCUCCAACUCCAAGACUUUUUCACGUAAAACACCCUCCUCCCCACGUAAACUAGAUAUAAUCUCAUUCAAUUCAGAAACAUAUUUCUCUAAGCCAGUAAUCUUAACCUUUUGCCCGCUGUUCUCCAUUUCAAUCUCAGUCUUCUUCCUUACAAUAUCCUCCAUCUCCCUGUUUAAAUCUUCAAUCUCUUUUUCUUUCUCUGCCAAUUUCUUCUCAGCAAAAUCCGUUAAAUUUUUAACCUUCUCAAUUUCUUCCUCUAAUUCCUUAUUUUGCUUAAUCGACUGAGCAUAGUGCACCUUCAAUAUCCUAAUAUCCUCCGCAGUCUUUCUUUCCUUCUCCUCCAUUUCAAUCAAUUUCUCCCUCAAGCCAUUUGCCUCGUUCACCCAGUUGUCCAGAUCAAACCUCAACAUAUCCCUAUCCCGACAAGCCCAGCUCAAUUUCUGUCUCUCAUUUUCAAGAUUUUCCAGUAGCCCAUUCACCUCAGUCUUCAAGAAGACACUCUCAAUCUCUUUCUCUCCCUUUUCUCUUAACAAGCCCUCCGCAACAACCCCCAUCUCAUUCAUCCUCGUCUCAAUAAAAACACAAAACAGCCCCUUCUCUAUCUCCAAACUCAGUCUGUCCUCAGUUGACCGAGUCAGCAGAUUCUCCAAAUCUGUCUUCUCUAUACUAGUCCGAGUUAACUCAGUCUCUAAACCACGUUUAGCUUGCACCAAAGACUCAAUUUGCUGCCUGCGCUCAAGUGUCUCUUUGAGAAGCAUAGAGUUGAGGGAUUUCAAGUGCUGGAUCUUCUCUUCAGGGUCUUCCAUGGAGGAUUGAUGGCGAUUCAGGGCUGGUGUGCGCGAAUCUUCGUGUGGGAUGUCUUGGUUGGGGUUUUGAAAGAGAUGGGAGAGUUUCUUUUUGGACAUACUUCGUUGCGGUAAGGAAGACAGGAUUUAAGAAUUUAGGGUUAGGGUUUUUGCUAGGGGUUCUAUGGUGUGAGAAAUCAGAGAGAGAUAUACAAGGCAGAGGAAGAGCCAGAAAAAAUGGAGGGGAGAGAGAGAGACUGUCGAGAGUUUAAAUUUUGGGCCCACAGUUUCAG